UGGGGAAUUUUGGACAAUGGGGGAAACCCUGAUCCAGCCAUCCCGCGUGUGCGAUGAAGGCCUUCGGGUUGUAAAGCACUUUUGGCAGGAAAGAAACGUCGCGGGUUAAUACCCCGCGAAACUGACGGUACCUGCAGAAUAAGCACCGGCUAACUACGUGCCAGCAGCCGCGGUAAUACGUAGGGUGCAAGCGUUAAUCGGAAUUACUGGGCGUAAAGCGUGCGCAGGCGGUUCGGAAAGAAAGAUGUGAAAUCCCAGAGCUUAACUUUGGAACUGCAUUUUUAACUACCGGGCUAGAGUGUGUCAGAGGGAGGUGGAAUUCCGCGUGUAGCAGUGAAAUGCGUAGAUAUGCGGAGGAACACCGAUGGCGAAGGCAGCCUCCUGGGAUAACACUGACGCUCAUGCACGAAAGCGUGGGGAGCAAACAGGAUUAGAUACCCUGGUAGUCCACGCCCUAAACGAUGUCAACUAGCUGUUGGGGCCUUCGGGCCUUGGUAGCGCAGCUAACGCGUGAAGUUGACCGCCUGGGGAGUACGGUCGCAAGAUUAAAACUUAAAGGAAUUGACGGGGGU
rnacentral:rRNA from 1 species